GACGAACGCUGGCGGCGUGCUUAACACAUGCAAGUCGAACGGAAAGGCCCUGCUUUUGUGGGGUGCUCGAGUGGCGAACGGGUGAGUAACACGUGAGUAACCUGCCCUUGACUUUGGGAUAACUUCAGGAAAAUGGGGCUAAUACCCGAUAGGAGCUCCUGCUGCAUGGUGGGGGUUGGAAAGUUUCGGCGGUUGGGGAUGGACUCGCGGCUUGUCCGCUUGUUGGUGGGGUAGUGGCUUACCAAGGCUUUGACGGGUAGCCGGCCUGGGAGGGUGACCGGCCACAUUGGGACUGGGAUACGGCACAGACUCCAACGGGAGGCAGCAGUGGGGAAUAUUGCACUACGGGCUGAAGCAUGAUGCAGCACCGCCGCGUGCGGUAUGACGGCAUUCGGGUUGUAAUCCGCUUUCGCCUGUGACGAAGCGUGAGUGACGGUAAUGAGUAAAGAAGCACCGGCUAACUACGUG
rnacentral:rRNA from 1 species